rnacentral:lncRNA from 1 species
GGAGUUCUUGUUUUCUAAGACGUUUUUUGGAUAUAAGGGCAUGAAUACAUCAUCAUCUAGUGUUCUCCUCAUUCUUAGCAACAAUGCCUUUAAAAGCAUUUGUGUAUUUUUGUUUUCAGCAUUAACCACUGAAGGAUAUCCAUUUACUAGUUUUUGUACAAUUGCUACCAUUCUUGAUGUUUGCGUUGUAGAAAAAGGAUCCCAUAUAUUUUCAGAAAUCACUGUUAAUUUAGGAAGAACAACUCUCUCUACAAUGGUAGGUAAUAGUGAAAUAUCAGCAUCAUCUUUUUCUUGCUCCUGUUCUUC